rnacentral:lncRNA from 1 species
UGGAGUUAAGGCCCACACAGAUAAUCCAGGAUGAUCUCAUUUUGAGAACCUUAACUUAAUUACAUCUGCAAAGACCCUUUUUCCAAAUAAGUUCUUUUUCACAGAUUCUGGAGAAGGGUAGGUAGACAUGGAUAUAUUUGUGGGAGUGCAUUUAUCCCACUACAAAAUGACACUGGGUCCUUCUCCUUGUGGAUGGUGAGCAGGGAGAGGGUUGCACACUCCUGUAAUUCUUUUUUUUUUUUUUUUUUCCUUUUCUCCUUAUCAUGCUGAAUAUAUCAAGUCAGCAGCCAGCAUCAGGUACCUGGGAAUGAGGAAGGAAAGACAGGCAGAUGGCAGAGGGGCCUGUCAACUUCUCCUUUUCACUGACACUCACACCACUCUUUCAUUUGCAACCACAGAAUACCUAACUGCAAGAACCGCCUCAUCCCAGGUGGUCUGACCGUGUCUCCGAGCUAAGCGGCGGAUUUCAGCCACAGGGUCUGACUCUCAGGCAGACACAUCCUGUCCAAGGACUGGAGACAGAGCAUCCGUUCUCCCCCCCCGGAGCGGUCAGCUGCAUGUGGCUGCUUGAGGGGCGGUUCAGUGGACCAAGAGACAUGAAGCCCGUCUUCUGCCCUCGCCUCUUUCUCUAUCUUGCUGCAUGACCUUGGAAGGUGGCCUGAUCUCUUGUCUUCUUUGCUGCCUCAUCUGUCAUGAUCCACCUUUACUACUUCAUAGCCAUGUUCUAGGAUAAAUGAGAGAAGCCUCUACAUCUUUUAGUCUCCCAGAAAGACUGGAACCAGGUGCAGUGGCUUAUGCCUGUAAUCCCAGAACUUUGGGAGACUGAGUCAGGAGGAUCACUUGAGGCCAGUUCAAGACCAGCCUGGGAAGCAGCAAGAGCCUGUCUCUACUGGGACAAAAAAAAAAAAGCGACGAGGCCCGAGGUGCAGCUGUCUCGCCUCGCCUGUCUUUUGCAGGCACCGGCAGGCACAGAAGAUGGCUCUCCGGGAGGAAGAUUCCUUUCCAUUUUGUUCGCUCUCUGCCUCCGCAAGGCUCCCAGCCACCUCUAGGGAGUACAGGGCGAGAUCCUGUGCCAGCGGGUAGGAAUCUGUAGCUGCCUCCCAGCCCCAGGGUGGAAAUCAUGACCUUUGAGAAGCAGGCAAGCUGCACGGCAUAGAUACUCAGGCCUGGUGAAGGCGAAGUGGGGCCACACCCUGGAAAACCACAAAAGUCCCCACAGCCUCUGCUUUCACUCGUCAGACCUGUGGGAAACUUGUAAGACACAGUCCGUGUGAUCGGCGGGUGGGGGCAUGUUGGGAGGGGCCUUCCGAAGGCCGAAGCCAGGCUGGCAGGGCAGAGUCCUUUCCAGAAUUUAUCUGUUUGCUUAAAGCCCAGCGGAGGGGCCACCUUCAGCCAGCCCUCCAGCACACUGGUCCUAGUAGUUUUUUCAACGUGCUUUGUGAGACUUUCAAAAGGUACCCAUGGGGAGGGAAGUGAGAGGAGGAGGAGGGGACGGGGAAUAAACAGCUUCUUUAUUUCUAGCUUUGCUUGAAUGGCUUCUUGACGGUUACAGCUCCAGUUUUGCUGAGUCAGAAGAAUCCCACAGCCGCUCACCGGAAACACAGCUGUUGAGCGAAAAUAACCACAGAGCUGAGCAUCAUGCACCUUCCAGAAAAGAUGGCAGAAAACCUCAAAACAAAAGAGAAAUACAAAACAAUAAGAGACACUGUCAAGAAAAAAAAAAAAAAAACCACCGCAGCUCACUAACUGAUCCAAGCUGGUGGCGCUCUCCUGAUCUCUCUCCACUCCCAGGCCAAGCAACCACUCUGAAAUAAAGCGAAGUUUGGCUGCUUU